CUGAUGAAAGUAUUAAACUAUGAACACAUUUAGUAUUUUUAGAUGUCUGCUUCUAGUUCUAAAUAUAAAAAAAGAAAAUGUGGUAUGAUUUCCAAUGAGAAAACUCUCCACAAGAGACCAAAAUGACAUAGAAAUUAACAACUAUAGGUUACAGUACAGCCUUCAACAAUGAGCAAAGCCCAUACCGCAUAGUCAGCUAUAAAGGCCCCUAAAUGACAAUGUAAAACAAUUCAAACGUGAAAACUAACGGCCUUAUUUAUGUACAAAAAAGAAGGUUUCAUUCACUGAAAUGUGGUUUUAGUUUCAGCCAAUUUAAAUCUAAAGUAUGCAUCAGAUAUAAAAAAAAAAGAACAUGUGGUAUGAUUGUCAAUGAGACAACUCACCACAAGAGACCAAAAUGACACAGAAAUUAACAACUAUAGGUCUCUGUACGGCCUUCAACAAUGAGCAAAGCCCAUAAGGCAUAACGCAUAGUCAGCUUUAAAAGGCCCUGAAAUGACAGUAAAGCAAUUCAAAAGAGAAAACUAACG
rnacentral:lncRNA from 1 species